GGAUGUGAGGGCGAUCUGCGUGCAACAUCUAUCACCCCAUUGAUUGCCAGGGUUGAUUUGGCUGAUGUGUCUGGCUAGUGGGUGUCCCCUUCUUCCCUCACUGUUCC
rnacentral:snRNA from 1 species